GACGAACGCUGGCGGCGUGCCUAAUACAUGCAAGUCGAACGAGAGCGACCGGUGCUUGCACUGGUCAAUCUAGUGGCGAACGGGUGAGUAACACGUGGGUAACCUGCCCAUCAGAGGGGGAUAACAUUCGGAAACGGAUGCUAAAACCGCAUAGGUCUUCGAACCGCAUGGUUUGAAGAGGAAAAGAGGCGCAAGCUUCUGCUGAUGGAUGGACCCGCGGUGCAUUAGCUAGUUGGUGAGGUAACGGCUCACCAAGGCCGUGAUGCAUAGCCGACCUGAGAGGGUGAUCGGCCACAUUGGGACUGAGACACGGCCCAAACUCCUACGGGAGGCAGCAGUAGGGAAUCUUCCGCAAUGGACGCAAGUCUGUCGGAGCAACGCCGCGUGAGUGAAGAAGGUUUUCGGAUCGUAAAACUCUGUUGUUAGAGAAGAACAAGUGCUAGAGUAACUGUUAGCGCCUUGACGGUAUCUAACCAGAAAGCCACGGCUAACUACGUG
rnacentral:rRNA from 1 species